GCCCUGUGCUUGCUAGAGGCUGUUGGACAUUGCUGCACUCCAGCGGGUAUCAUGGGCCAGAGCAGUCCAGUGACUUAUGCAUAGAACUGUUUCCUCAGCUCUGUCCCUGGUACAUGG
rnacentral:snoRNA from 1 species